UAACGAAUGAUAGAAAAUUAUUUUUUAAUUUCAUCUUUUUUCUUUUCUUUGAAAUUAUGAUUUUUAUACACUUUUUCUUCGAUAGUGGUUUUUGCUGUAAGUUCUUUGCCUUGACUUCUUUUAUUCUGUUUCUAUGCGAGUAAUUUUGUAAAUUAACCGAGGACAUGAGUUUCGUUACAAGGUAACGAAUCUCAUGUAAGCGUGUAAUGCGAUCGAAAGUACGAAGAAAGAAUUUGUAUGACUAUCAAAACUUUAUUUAAUAAAUUUGUGACUAGUAAUUGAUAAGUAAACACACACACACACACACAAAAUUAUUUAUUUAUUUAAUAAAAUUAUUAUUAAUAACAAUAAUUUUAUUAUUUAUUAUUAAUUCAAAUCGAUUUAAAUUAUUAAUGAAUGAAGUUGUAUAUUUCAAUUAUAUUAUUAAUAAAAUUAUUAUGAUAAUGAUAAAUUAUUUAUAAUAAAAUUCGUAGAACUUAUCAAGUUAAAUAUUUUUUUUUUAAACUUAAAUUAGUAUCGAACUAGUUGAAUAUAAAAUAGUGGGACGAAGUUUAUUUUAUAGAAUUAAGCAGUUGAUAUCCUAGCUGGAUAUAUAUAUGGUUAUAGGGCUCUGGUUAUCGAAACGAAUCAAGUAUCCGAAAUUUGAGUCGAGCACUUUUCUUACUUAAAAUGAAUCAAGUACUUGACACGCGAGUCGAAUAAACUCUCGGAACUCAAUUAUUUGUAUAAUUAUAGAUGAUACGGUUAAAAAUUAUGCGAAUAUCGAUGAAAAUACGUACCUUGCAUUCCGGAAUGCCAUGGUUGACAAGCAAGGCUAAUCCUUUCUCGGACAGCGCCCUUACCAGUUUCGAAGACACUUGCUUCACGACACCCUUCUGAGGACAUCUCUCAGUCCCUGGAGGAAUAAAGCGAAAAGAAUAAGAGAGAGAACGGAGAAAAAGAAAGAGAAAAGAAGAGGAAAUACAAGUAUAUAUUUAGGAUUUCCACAUACGUUGUUUUUGUUAAAGAUAAUAAUCACUGAUUGAAGUGAAGACUCUUUAAAUUGAAUUUUUUAUAACUACUUUUGUCAAAAUAAGAAAUUAAAUUAUUCAACUUAAUUAUCCAGUUUCCAAAAUUCAAAUUUUUAAGAUUCAAAUAGAUAUUCAAAUUUGUGUUCUUGUUUCAAAA